GACGAACGCUGGCGGCGUGCCUAACACAUGCAAGUCGAGCGAUGAAAUCCCUUCGGGGAUGGAUUAGCGGCGGACGGGUGAGUAACACGUGGGUAACCUGCCUCAAAGUGGGGGAUAGCCUUCCGAAAGGAAGAUUAAUACCGCAUAAUAUUAGACUUUCGCAUGAAGAACUAAUUAAAGAAGUAAUUCGCUUUGAGAUGGACCCGCGGCGCAUUAGCUAGUUGGUGAGGUAAUGGCUCACCAAGGCUACGAUGCGUAGCGGACCUGAGAGGGUGAUCGGCCACAUUGGAACUGAGACACGGUCCAGACUCCUACGGGAGGCAGCAGUGGGGAAUAUUGCACAAUGGGGGAAACCCUGAUGCAGCAACGCCGCGUGAGUGAUGAAGGUCUUCGGAUUGUAAAGCUCUGUCUUUUGGGACGAUAAUGACGGUACCAAAGGAGGAAGCCACGGCUAACUACGUGCCAGCCGCCGCCGUAAUAC
rnacentral:rRNA from 1 species